GAAAAUUAUACCAAGACCAAAAGUUCCUGCUAAAAUUGAGGAGCCUCCACCCACUAAAGUUCCUGAACCACCAAAGAAAAUGGUACCAGAGAAGAAAGUUCCUGCACCACCUCCUAAAAAAGUGCCACCAGCCAAAGCACCUGAAGAACCAAAGAAACCGGUUCCAGAAAGGAGAGUUCCUGCAGAAGUGGUUGAGAUAGAAGAACCUCCCCCAACCAAAGUGACCGAAAAGCACAUGAAAAUUACCCAGGAGGAAAAGGUUCUUGUGGCUGUAACUAAAAAGGAGGAGCCUCCGAGAGCAAGAGUGCCAGAGGAACCUAAGAAAGUUGUCCCUGAAGAAAAAUUUCCCAAACUCAAACCUCGAAGAGAGGAGGAGCCACCGGCUAAAGUGACCGAAGUUAGAAAGAGAGCCGUUAAAGAAGAAAAGGUGUCCAUUGAAGUUCCAAAGAGAGAACCCCGCCCCACUAAAGAAGUAACUGUAACAGAAGAGAAGAAAUGGUCUUACACCCGAGAAGAAGAAACUGUUCUGGAACACCGGGAGGAGGAAUACGAGGAUUAUGAGGACUAUGAGGAGUAUAAAGAGUAUGAGGAGUAC
rnacentral:lncRNA from 1 species